GGCCCUGAUCGACCACCCACUCCCCGUCCCCUCACUCUCUGUCCCCUUCUUCCUCCUUUGGUCCUGCCUCAAUCCCUGCCGACGCAUCGCCGGGGACCCGAGCCACCGCACCCUACUAGCCCCUCCAUCCUACCUCCGCCGACCUGUCCCGACCCCCUCCAUUAUCAACCGCUACCUGUGCUCCUCCCCUGGCGCUACCCCAGCAAUCCCGCCGCGCUCUGGACGAACGACAGCAUCACCCUGCGCCGGAUUUGGGCCACCCCGUGCCGGAUCCGCACCCCCAGCAUCAGAUCCCGCGGGUUGUCUUCUCGUACAUGGUGGCCUCCCGCCCCCCAGGCCAUGGAUCGCCUACACGCCCAGCAGGGUCGGUUUGUUGGGGUGGUAGGAGCCCGUGGAUGGAGGGCAACCAUGGCCGCCGACAUCGCCAGAACAGCUCCGCUUCUCGUACACCAAUGGAACCGGUUUUUUGCAGGAUAAUUCUCGAAAAAAGGGAGCCCAGUAAUCUGCACAUUUACAAUUAAGAAACUUCAUCAUGUGCUCCCAGGAGCAGCACAACAACCAUACUUGUUGCUCAUGGAUCUGGGAAAAACAAGGGAGAACACUGCGAGGAAGAAGGUGCAAUCAGAUAUGAAAAAACAAGCCAUUGCAGGGUCCCUCCGAUUUUGGGGGAGAAGAAGAAGGGCGUGGGGGUAGGUAAGGAGAGGGAAAGGGGGGCGUUGGGCGCAGGGGUACGUCAGGCAAGCUACACUUCCUAUUUGAUGACCGGCGUUGAUCAAGCACGUGAUGGGAGAGCUGAAGAAAAGCGUGCAAGCUGAAGGAAAGCAUGGGAGCAGGAGAAAAGCGUGGGCCUUCCUACUUUCCAAAUCUGGAUCGGGGGACCAAAACAUGCCUAAAUAAGAGAGGCUGCCAGGAAGCGCUAGUGGGCAAACGUUUGCUCACUAGAUGCGUCCCAACAAAAAACAUCUGUUUUCAUUCUUUGUUCCGGUCGAAUUUGUGUAACAAUUGUGCGCCGGGCUGUCCCUUCUAGCCCGACGACUGACAACCCGGUUAACACGCAAAACACACA